GACAGAGCAUAUGUCUCUCGCCCAAAUAUCCAAAGGCUUCCUAUCGCAAAGUAAAAAAAAAAAAAGGUGACCUUUGAGCAAGGACCUAAAAUAGAUUAGCGCUGAGCUAACAUCCGUUGCCAAUCCUCCCCUUUUUGCUGAGGAAGACUGGCCCUGAGCUCACAUCCGUGCCCAUCUUCCUCCACUUUAUAUGUGGGACGCCUACCACAGCAUGGCUUGCCAAGCAGUGCCAUGUCCGCACCUGGGAUCUGAACCAGCGAACCCCGGGCCGCCCAAGUGAAACAUGC
rnacentral:lncRNA from 1 species